UACGGGGGGGGCAAGCGUUGUUCGGAAUUACUGGGCGUAAAGGGCUCGUAGGUGGCCAACUAAGUCAGACGUGAAAUCCCUCGGCUUAACCGGGGAACUUCGUCUGAUACUGGAUGGCUUGAGUUCGGGAGAGGGAUGCGGAAUUCCAGGUGUAGCGGUGAAAUGCGUAGAUAUCUGGAGGAACACCGGUGGCGAAGGCGGCAUCCUGGACCGACACUGACGCUGAGGAGCGAAAGCCAGGGGAGCAAACGGG
rnacentral:rRNA from 1 species